rnacentral:piRNA from 1 species
UAGCCAUUAUACAUCAUGGAUGCUGGAGA